AAAAAGUGUUUAAGUGCAAACAAUUCAUAGAAGUCUGAAAAUUCUGUGAGUAUUCACAGGACCCGCAGUGGGGCAAAGGUCAGUUUUAGCAGGAUAGAAGUCAACAGCCAUGACGGAAAGAAUUGACAUCUAACUGUAUAAAAGUGUAAAAUUCCUAUAGAUCAAAGAUGCUGUGGAGAGCCUGGAUCAUGGCUCAGGUUUUAGAGGGCACGUCUAGCAUGCAUGAAGCCAGGGUUUGGUCCCCAGCACUGCAUCAACAGGGGAUGGUAGCUUGUGCCUAUAAGCCCAGCACUGGGAAGAGAGAAACAGGAAGGUCUGUAGUUCAGGAUCCUCCACUUCACAGUGAGCGUCACAGCCUGGGACAGAUGAGCUGGAGAGACUGAACUCCCCUAUAAACCCUCAGUGAUGUGCUUCCCACAGGUAGGCGGGAUUACAGGUGGGGGGGGGUGGACAGCUCUUCCCUCACUCCCAUGUCCCAGUGCAAUCAUCAAUUAUCAUUCACAGCAAGGGAAGGGUGGCUCAGAAGGCAGAGCCCAGAGAACCAAACUGUGAUGACCUCUGCUCCCGCCAUUAUACAAUCCCCUCCCACACCAAACAGGGCUGAUGUGGGUACCAACAGAGCUAGCUGCAGCAAUGACAGGGUCAUGAAUAAGUCAAGAGAGUGUGGUAGCUUCCAGCAUCACACCCUUAAAUUACCCCAUUGGGCAGCCAAGUAGGCAUUGCAUCCCAGGUUUGAAGACUCUGGAAAGCUGCGAUGGUUGCUCUCCGUAGGGAACUGUCGGAGGUGGACUUGGAAAUGUGGACUGUCUGGUUUCAUGGCAGACUGGGAACGAAGCUCAGUCAGUGCUUGCCUGUGUAUGAAGCCUUGAGUUGGAUCCCUAGCAGGACAUAAACCAGGUAAGGCAGCGUAAGUCCCAGCACUCAGGAGGUGGAGGCACGAAAAUCACAAGUUCAAGGUCACCCUUAGCUAUAUAGUAUUCACUAUAGAAUUCAAAGUCAGCAUGGGCCGUGUAAUAGUCUCAACAAGACAAACGAGAAAGGAUUACACAGCGAGGGAUGGAAGUUGCUGGAGAAGUGAGUGGCUGAGGUUUGUGGCUAGUGGCCUGUGAGGAGUUAUCUUAGAGCAGGGCUCUCAACCUUCCAAAUGCUGUGACCCUUAAAUACAGCUCCUCAUGUUGUGCUGACCCCAACCAUAAAAUGAUCUCAUUGCUACUUCAUGACUGUAAUUUAGCUGCUGUUAGGGAUGGUAAUGUAAACACCUGACAUGCAGGAUAUCUGAUAGCCAACCCCUGGGAAAGGGUCCUUCGACCCCAACGGGUUUCAGCCCACAUGUUGAGAACCACUGUCUUAGACAUUGAUCCUCCAGCCCCAGUCAAGCCUUCACUGACAGGAGUGAUAACCCCAACCUGAGAGACUCCAGUAAGACCAUUGCGUCCCACUGCUCCCGAAUUCCUAACCCCCCCCCCCAAAACUGUGAAGUCAGAAAAGUUUGGUGUUCAUAAUACUAACCCCCAGGGCCACUUACUCCACAGUGGUUGCCUCAGAAGAUCUCCACACAAUGGGGUACCCCUUACAGAGUUACUGCUUACUCCCCCGUGGGCAGGAAGUCAACCAAAGUCAAAAGCCGAGCAUCAAAAGCAGGUGACUCGCCAGGUGUGCUGGCACACACUUUUAAUCCCAGCAC
rnacentral:lncRNA from 1 species